UACGUAGGGUGCGAGCGUUAAUCGGAAUUACUGGGCGUAAAGCGUGCGCAGGCGGUUUUGUAAGACAGGUGUGAAAUCCCCGGGCUUAACCUGGGAACUGCGCUUGUGACUGCAAGACUCGAGUACGGCAGAGGGGGGUAGAAUUCCACGUGUAGCAGUGAAAUGCGUAGAGAUGUGGAGGAAUACCGAUGGCGAAGGCAGCCCCCUGGGUCGAUACUGACGCUCAUGCACGAAAUCGUGGUGAGCAAACAGG
rnacentral:rRNA from 1 species